UACGUAGGGUGCAAGCGUUGUCCGGAAUUAUUGGGCGUAAAGAGCUCGUAGGCGGUUUGGCAAGUCGGGUGUGAAAACUCCGGCUCAACUCGGAGACGCCACUCGAUACUGCCAUGACUCGAGUCCGGUAGGGGAGUGCGGAAUUCCUGGUGGUAGCGGUGAAAUGCGCAGAUAUCAGGAGGAACACCGGUGGCGAAGGCGGCACUCUGGGCCGGUACUGACGUGAGACGCGAAAGCGUGGGGAGCGAACAGG
rnacentral:rRNA from 1 species